GUAAGUGAAAUUAGACAGCAUGUGCUUUCUGUGUGUCUGGCUUCUUUCGCCCAUUGCUACAUUUGUGCAAGUCAUGCAUGCUGUUGUAUGCUGUUUUAGCUCAUUCAUGUUCAUUGCUGCAUAGUAUUCCCUGAUAUACCAUGGUACAAAUAGACCAAAUCAGAGUAUUCAUUUGUGUGGGUUGCUCACAGUUAGGGCUGACAGCAUUCAUGCUGCUGUGACUAUUCCUGCAUAUGUCUCUUGGUGGACAAAUGCACUCACAUCUGUUGAGCCCUGGGAGUGAGACCUGGAGUCAUGGGCUGUGCGUGGUCAGCUUUCGUAGAUGUUGUCAGUUCCACAAAGUCCUGCAAGUAAAGACCCUCUAGUUGUAUCAGAGAGUUCCCAUUGUUCUACAUUUUUGCCUUCCAUUAACUUUUUUUUUUUUUAACUGUUUUGUUGAAAUACAAUUCACAUACCAUACAAUUCAUCCAUUUAAAGUUGACAGGCCAACAGCAGUUAGUGGAUUCAUGGGGUUGUGCAGCCAUCACCACAGUCAGUUCAGGAACAUUUUCAUCACUCCUGAACUCCUACGUGUCAAUCCUCAAUCCUUCCAUCCCUCAGCACUGUGUCUACAAUUUGGGCAUUUCAUACACAUUGAAUCAUACGAUCUUUGUCUUUGGUUUGGCUUCGUUUACCCAGCAUGAUGUUUUCAAGGUUCAUCCACACUGUAGCACAUGUAAGGAUCCAUUCCUUUUCAUGGCUGAGUAAUAUUCCAUCACAUGGACAGAUCAGGUUUUGUUUAACCAUUUGUCAUUUGAUGGGCAUUUGGGUUGGUUCCACCUUUUGGCUGUUGUGAACGUGGCUUCUGUGAACAUUCACGUGCAAGCUUUUAGACGGACAGAUGUUUUCCAUUUCCUUGGGUAGAUAUCCAGCGCGGCGGGGGGCACAAAAAUGUGAUAACUCUAGGUUAAACUGUUUGAGGAACUGCCAGACGGAUUUCCAUGGCAGUUGCGCUGUUUUACAUCCUCACUAGAGCUGUCCCUGUGGCGAGAAAACAUGCCGCUCCUCCACACAGUGCUGCGCACAGGCAAACCUCGCAGGGCUUGGCAUCUUUUUGUUGGGGUCGGGAGGGGACGAGGUAGUGUCUGCUUCGAUGAUGGGGUCAGCAUCUGGGCAGUGUCCAAGAGGCAGGAGGGGACGAGUUAGUGUCUGCUUCGAUGAUGGGGUCGGCACCUGGGCAGUGUCCAGUGUCUGCUUUGAUGACGGGGUCAGCAUCUGGGCAGUGUCCAGGACACUCUUGUUGGUCUGGCACGAAUACUGUGGCCAUGGCGGCGUCUCAAGGUGGCAUCCUGCCCAGAGUCCCCAGCAGGACCUGCUGCCCACAGCCUCGAGCCCCUCACUGUGAACUGUCACGUUCCCUGGUUGGCAGGAGUCUCCGGGGAAGAACAAUUGGUGCGAACUCCCUGUGCGGGGUGGGGGCUGGGUGCAGGGAAGUCUCAUCAUUUCUAGGGAAUUUCACAGAGGCUGCCCAAUGGGCUGUUCCAAACCCAUGUGUGCCCAAAGCCCACUCCGGUCAGUUGGAGAAGGGGGCCCUCAGAUAGCCCUUGGUCCUUAGUCCCUUGUAAUCCAGAGAGUUCCCUUUGGAAUGGAGAAAUUCCCCAGAACAAGAGGAGGGGUGACCUUGGGCAAGUCCCUCCCCAUCCUGGGUCUUUGCAUGCCCAUCCAUGGGGUACAGGGUACACCUAGCGAUGCCCAGGGCUCUCCCUGCCCUGAGCUCUCUGGGGAAGCUGGGAUGAACUGCAAAGCAGCCAGCUCUUUUUGGGUAAAAAUCCUCCAGGCUCAUUUGCCGGGUGGUGGCUGUCCCUAAGGCCUUGUGAGUCUAUAUUCCAGAGCCUAAGAACGCCUGGUGGUGAAGGCCAGCCACCCUGGCCGGAGACUGCCCCGUGUCCACAGAGCCCUUGGGCCUCCCAGUGGUGAGGAGGGAGAAGGAACAGCUGCUGGAAAAUGCCAGACGUCUUCAUUGUGAUCGGCAUGAGGGUUCGCUCCAAGCACGGAGGCUGGUUCUCCUUCCCUCCUUUAUUUGCUCAGCUUUGAGCUCACGGACUGACACUUACCAGGAGUUUAACAAAUAUUUAUCGAAUGAAGGAAUUCAUUCAUUUGCUUAUUCAAUCAAGAAGAUUGAAAUCUUACAGUCAGAAGCUGCAGCCACAGAGGUAGCCCAAAGCUUGUUUAUUAAAUGCCGGCUCUGGUGGCCGUGUCCUGCCAGCAUGGUCUGGUGUGGCCUCCAUGGCGCCCUUGGGAGGGGGCUGAUAAUAUGGCACAAGGUGCUCACAGCUCCUGACAUGGCCCCACCUGGAGGCUGGGGAGGUGGGGAGGGAAAGGUGAGCACCAUCAUUACAUGAGGGGGACUCCUGCCCAGCGACAAAGGCAAGGCUGCUGGGAACAGUGCUGGGUGCGGGGGUCGCCUUUCCCUCGCCUUUCACACCCGUCUUCAUUUUUCUUCUGAGUCACAUUCUGGAGCCUGGGCGAGGCCAUCUAUUACUGGAGUUUUAAGCUGCUUUGUGAACCACAGGACAGCUGGCCAGUUGGGAUGGAGUCUCACUCCGUCACCCAGGCUGGAGUGCAGUGGCAUGAUCUCGGCUCCCUGUGGCCUCCGCCUUCCAGGUUCAAGCGAUUCUCCUGCCUCAGCCUCUCAAGUAGCUGGGAUUACAGGCGCCUGCCAUCAUGCAGGAGGCUACACCUGUGCCUUACUUACAGGCUGUGCACUGUCCAUGAGCCCUGGUGGGGUUGUGAUUAUUGCUGGUAGGAGGCCGGGGGCGAGGCCAGAAGCCUGGAGGCCGUGUGAGGAUCACGCCUCGUGAGCCAGGAAUGCAAGGAUUUUGCCGAUGGAGGGAGACUGCAUUGUGUUCAGAACUUCGGUUCAGAACAGAGGUUUUCACACUUUGGAAAACCACAUCCCCCGUGGCCAAGUGGUGUAAGAGAUGGGGUCUCACUACUGCCUUGAACUCCCGGCCUCAAGCGACCCUCCCGCCUCUGCGUGAGCCACCUCACCCAGCUCCCAGUGAUGUUUUUACGUGAUUUCUUAAAAUUAGGAUCCAAAUAUUAUCCACGCCAUGCAUCUUGUGGUUCUGUUGCUUUUCCCUCCCUGGCCCCUUCCCCACUUCCCCAGCCUACCCCACCCUAAGACAGCAGGGACACCCACUUUCCCUGUCCAAAGCGGCCUUCCCAUCUCCCAUCUGUGCAUCCAACCAAGAUUCAAGGAGCACCCACCUCGUGCUAAGGACUGGGGCACAUUCCUGAAGAUGACUCUGGUCCCUGCCAUGUGGACAGCAGAGUCUAGAGGAGGAGAGAGCGGAGACAAGCGUUAGAAAAAGAGUGGCUGAUCACUCCAGACUCUGCUGAGAGCGAGUGUCUUGGUUUGUGUGAGGACAGAUGAUGGUGUCACGCCCACGCUGGGUAUGACAGGGGAGAGGAGUCCGCAGGGGGAGCCGGGGGACUGCCCGCUUCCUCAAAGCCUGGACCCAUAAGGAGGCGUUCCCCGGCAUCCAUGAACCUCUUCAAGCAACUGCCUGCCCACAGCCGGCAGGAAUCAUUCCUGGCCUACGCUUUCACACAGAGCCCUUAGAAGCCCCAUGAGGAAGGCCCUGCAGGGAGAAUGCUCAGAGAUGGAAAGUCACUGCUCAAGGCCACACAUCUGAGACCUAAACCCUGAAUAUCUCCAGGGCUGUCCCGUUGAUAUCUUCCAACAACACGUGCACAGAGACAGCCGUCAGCGGGGACGCUGCCUGGAUGGAGGACAGCUAGUUUGGCAUUCGCUUCGGAACAAUCUGGGGGAGGUAGAAUGGGGGUAUGGAGGAGAGAAGAUGCUUUCCAGGUGGAAGCUGGUGAUAGGCCCCAGGUGGGCA